rnacentral:rRNA from 1 species
ACUCAAAGGAAUAGACGGGGGCCCGCACAAGCGGUGGAGCAUGUGGUUUAAUUCGACGCAACGCGAAGAACCUUACCUGGGUUUGACAUGCAUAGGACAGGUGGUGAAAGCCAUCCUCUCUUCGGAGCCUAUGUGCAGGUGCUGCAUGGCUGUCGUCAGCUCGUGUCGUGAGAUGUUGGGUUAAGUCCCGCAACGAGCGCAACCCUCAUCCUCUGUUGCUACCAGGUCAAGCUGGGCACUCUGAGGAGACUGCCCCGGUGAACGGGGAGGAAGGUGGGGAUGACGUCAAGUCCUCAUGGCCUUUAUGUCCAGGGCUACACACGUGCUACAAUGGCGAGGACAAUGGGUUGCUCCCACGCAAGUGGUUGCUAAUCUCAAAAACCUUGUCUCAGUUCAGAUGGUCGGCUGCAACUCGCCGGCCUGAAGCUGGAAUCGCUAGUAAUCGGAGAUCAGCACGCUCCGGUGAAUACGUUCCCGGGCCUUGUACACACCGCCCGU